GACGAACGCUGGCGGCGUGCUUAACACAUGCAAGUCGAACGGAAAGGCCCUUCGGGGUACUCGAGUGGCGAACGGGUGAGUAACACGUGGGUGAUCUGCCCUGCACUUUGGGAUAAGCCUGGGAAACUGGGUCUAAUACCGAAUAGGACCACGCGCUUCAUGGUGUGUGGUGGAAAGCUUUUGCGGUGUAGGAUGGGCCCGCGGCCUAUCAGCUUGUUGGUGGGGUAAUGGCCUACCAAGGCGACGACGGGUAGCCGGCCUGAGAGGGUGACCGGCCACACUGGGACUGAGAUACGGCCCAGACUCCUACGGGAGGCAGCAGUGGGGAAUAUUGCACAAUGGGCGCAAGCCUGAUGCAGCGACGCCGCGUGAGGGAUGACGGCCUUCGGGUUGUAAACCUCUUUCAAUAGGGACGAAGCGCAAGUGACGGUACCUAUAGAAGAAGCACCGGCCAACUACGUG
rnacentral:rRNA from 1 species